UACGGAGGGUGCGAGCGUUGUCCGGAAUCACUGGGCGUAAAGGGCGCGUAGGUGGCUUUUCAAGCGCGCGGUGAAAGCCCGGGGCUCAACCCCGGGUCGGCCGUGCGGACUGGGAGGCUCGAGCACUGUAGGGGCGGGUGGAAUUCCGGGUGUAGCGGUGGAAUGCGUAGAGAUCCGGAAGAACACCGGUGGCGAAGGCGGCUUCCUGGACCGACACUGACGCUGAGGCGCGAAAGCUAGGGGAGCAAACGGG
rnacentral:rRNA from 1 species